ACACCACAAUUCCUUCCCUCCAUUUUCUUCUUAGGAUCUUGGGCACUAACAAGCUGCUGAGUCCUAGACUCCAACUGUGCGGGCAGCCAGAUCUCAACGAAAGCAAAGGAGAGAGAGAAAGUCUGAAGGAACCAACCUGGGAGCUGUGAAGUAGUUGGCAGAGGUGUGAGAGGAUCAUGAGUGUAAGAGAGAGAGCGAGGAGAGC